UACGGGGGGAGCAAGCGUUGUUCGGAUUUACUGGGCGUAAAGGGCGCGUAGGCGGCCUGUGCAAGUCAGUUGUGAAAUCUCCGGGCUUAACUCGGAAAGGUCAACUGAUACUGUGCGACUAGAGUGCAGAAGGGGCAACUGGAAUUCUCGGUGUAGCGGUGAAAUGCGUAGAUAUCGAGAGGAACACCUGCGGCGAAGGCGGGUUGCUGGGCUGACACUGACGCUGAGGCGCGAAAGCCAGGGGAGCGAACGGG
rnacentral:rRNA from 1 species